rnacentral:rRNA from 1 species
UACAGAGGGGGCAAGCGUUGUUCGGAAUUACUGGGCGUAAAGGGCGCGUAGGCGGCCUCUUAAGUCGAACGUGAAAUCCCCGGGCUCAACCCGGGAACUGCGUCCGAUACUGGGGGGCUUGAAUCCGGGAGAGGGAUGUGGAAUUCCAGGUGUAGCGGUGAAAUGCGUAGAUAUCUGGAGGAACACCGGUGGCGAAGGCGGCAUCCUGGACCGGUAUUGACGCUGAGGCGCGAAAGCUAGGGGAGCAACGGGAUUAAGAAAC